rnacentral:RNase_P_RNA from 1 species
GAAGUCUGCCAGACCGCCGCUGGUGCAAUCUGGGAAACCAGGCACUGGAGGAACGUCCGGACUGCAUAGGGCAGCGUAGCAGCUAAUGGCUGUCCACCGUGAGGUGAGGAUCAGAGCAACAGAGACGAGUCCGGGCGGGUUGAGCCACCGAAGGUGUUCUGUGCGGCACCAGCGAAAGCUGGUGAGAGGGCGGCGUAAGCUGCCCGAACCCGGCGUAAGCCGGAUCCGCACAGCCACCCCAGGCGGGCAGGCCCGCCUGGGGUGAAACGGGCAAUCUCUACGCGCAGCAAUACCAAGUAGGCACACGUUGACGGGGCCCCCGGAGUGUGCGGGUAGGUAGCAUCGAGCCGUUGUGGCGACACACGGCCCAGAGUAAUGGCGGUCACGCUGCGGGCAACCGCAGUGCACAGAAUCCGGCUUAUCGGCAGACUUCACUU